CCUACGGGAGGCAGCAGUGGGGAAUAUUGCACAAUGGGCGCAAGCCUGAUGCAGCCAUGCCGCGUGUGUGAAGAAGGCCUUCGGGUUGUAAAGCACUUUCAGCGGGGAGGAAGGCGGUGAGGUUAAUAACCUCAUCGAUUGACGUUACCCGCAGAAGAAGCACCGGCUAACUCCGUGCCAGCAGCCGCGGUAAUACGGAGGGUGCAAGCGUUAAUCGGAAUUACUGGGCGUAAAGCGCACGCAGGCGGUCUGUCAAGUCGGAUGUGAAAUCCCCGGGCUCAACCUGGGAACUGCGUUCGAAACUGGCAGGCUAGAGUCUUGUAGAGGGGGGUAGAAUUCCAGGUGUAGCGGUGAAAUGCGUAGAGAUCUGGAGGAAUACCGGUGGCGAAGGCGGCCCCCUGGACAAAGACUGACGCUCAGGUGCGAAAGCGUGGGGAGCAAACAGGAUUAGAUACCCGUGUAGUC
rnacentral:rRNA from 1 species